UACGGGGGGGGCAAGCGUUGUUCGGAAUUACUGGGCGUAAAGGGCUCGUAGGCGCCAACUAAGUCAGACGUGAAAUCCCUCGGCUUAACCGGGGAACUGCGUCUGAUACUGGUUGGCUUGAGUGUGGGAGAGGGAUGCGGAAUUCCAGGUGUAGCGGUGAAAUGCGUAGAUAUCUGGAGGAACACCGGUGGCGAAGGCGGCAUCCUGGACCAUUACUGACGCUGAGGAGCGAAAGCCAGGGGAGCAAACGGG
rnacentral:rRNA from 1 species